rnacentral:misc_RNA from 1 species
AACGCACAUUGCGCCCGCCGGAACUCCGGCGGGCACGCCUGUCCGAGCGUCAUUUCAACCCCUCAGGCACCCCUUCUGGGGCGGGCCUGGUGCUGGGGCUCGGCCGCCUCCUCCGGCGGCCGUCCCCGAAAUGCAGUGGCGGUCACGCCGCAAUCCCUUGCGCAGUAGCACAUCUCGCACCGGAGAGCGUCGCGGUCCACGCCGUGAAACCCCCAACCUCAACGGUUGACCUCGGAUCAGGUGGGAAUACCCGCUGAACUUAA